GGUGGCUCAGUGGUAGAGCACUUGCCUUGCAUGCAUGAGGCCCUGGGUUCGUUUCCUCAGCACCA
rfam:Dipodomys ordii contig_63902, whole genome shotgun sequence.